GUCUCUGUGGCGCAAUCGGUUAGCGCGUUCGGCGUUCGGCUGUUAACCGAAAGGUUGGUGGUUCGAGUCCACCCAGUGACG